GUGUUGUAUGAAAGGAGAGAAGUUUAGCACUCCCCUAGACAAGGAUGGAAACACAAAUACCGUAAGGCACCGUCGCUUGCGACACUUACGAACAUUUUUU